UUUUUUAAAAACCUGUCCAAACUGUAUUUCCAGUAGAUGGCGCUGCAGUUUCAUCAGCCUCUAGCGCCUGAAAUCGAACUAUUAUUAUUUUUUGUUGUCAUGUGAUUCUCAUUGUUUACUUUGUUUUUACGUUGACAACGUGUAUUUGAGUUUCCCUCGUCUGAACGGUAUCGUUAUUUCUGUUUUUUGUUGUUGUUUUUACCUCCACCGCUAUUAUCCAUGUGCAAAUAUUGCACUGCUUCGUUACCUAAACGAAAUGUCAGCCGUUGCACUUGGGUUUAGAGUGAGGUAAUAUUAACAUACUUUUGGAAAACCAGGUCUCAUGUUGUAUCAUUCUGGGUAAAGCCAGUGUUACAAGAAGAACUGUGCAUGAUAUUAGGUGAAAAUUGAUGGCUUUUGUUUUUUACAACCAAAAGCCAAUUUUCAGGAUUAUUAAGAUGAUUAAUUACUACUUUUACAUUUGCAACAUGUUAAUCUUAUUCUGCUUUAUUAGUAGGCAUAUCCAGUAGUGGAGUUAAAAGUAACAGAUGUGUUCUGUUGUGUACUCUGCACAUAUUGUGAUGUUCAUGCCUGCAUAUUAAUGCAAAAACUACAUGUAUAGCAGUAAUUUCCCAAUACAACAAAAUAUUCACAGUCUGUAACAGAAGAUUUUUUUGUUGGACCUUCAAGAAAUUCUAACAAGAUGUGCUAUUUGCUAUCAAUAUUCCGCAAGAAUUGGAUCUCCCGUUUACUUUUUCCGGUAAUAACCAUAUCUGUUCCACUAUCACCUUAAUUCUGAUGGCUAUCAAAUUAAGGGGAUGGUUUUGAAACAUUUGCUUCGAUUAUUAUGUGUGGGGUAGUGCUUUGAAGUGGUAUACAGGUCGUACCUUAAAACUGAA